UUGGAGGGCAAGUCUGGUGCCAGCAGCCGCGGUAAUUCCAGCUCCAAUAGCGUAUAUUAAAGUUGUUGCAGUUAAAAAGCUCGUAGUUGAACCUCGGGGUCUACCCAUUGGUCAGGCUUAAUUGUCUGCACUGGUGAGAUGGAUCUCUACCUUCUGAGGAACUUUCAUGCCAUUUAUUUGGUGUGAUGGGAAAUCAGGACUGUUACUUUGAAAAAAUUAGAGUGUUUAAAGCAGACUAUCGUCUGAAUACAUUAGCAUGGAAUAAUGAAAUAGGACGGACUGAUUCUAUUUCGUUGGUUUCUAGGAUCACCGUAAUGAUUAAUAGGGAUAGUUGGGGGCAUUAGUAUUCAAUUGUCAGAGGUGAAAUUCUUGGAUUUAUUGAAGACUAACUACUGCGAAAGCAUUUGCCAAGGAUGUUUUCAUUAAUCAAGAACGAAAGUUAGGGGAUCGAAGACGAUCAGAUACCGUCGUAGUCUUAACCAUAAACUAUGCCGACUAGGGAUCGGACGAAGUUAAUUUUAUAAUGACGCGUUCGGCGCCUUACGGGAAAC
rnacentral:rRNA from 3 species